GGUGAACGCUGGCGGCGUGCCUAAGACAUGCAAGUCGAGCGGGGCAGGUUUAUACCUGUUCAGCGGCGGACGGGCGAGUAACGCGUGGGUGACCUACCCGGAAGAGGCGGACAACCUGGGGAAACCCAGGCUAAUCCGCCAUGUGGUCCUGUCCUCUGGGGCAGGACUAAAGGGGCGACCCGCUUCCGGAUGGGCCCGCGUCCCAUCAGCUAGUUGGUGGGGUGAGGGCCCACCAAGGCGACGACGGUUAGCCGGUCUGGGGGGAUGGCCGGGCAAAGGGGCACUGGGGCACGGGGCCAACGCCUAGGGGAGGCAGGAGUGAAGAAGCUGCCGAAAUGGACGGAAGGCUGGCGGCGCGACGCCGCUUGGAGGAGGAAGGCAUGCGGGGUGUAAAGUCCUGAACUGGGGACGAAAGCCCCGUGUAGGGGGAUGACGGUACCCAGGUAAUAGCGCCGGCCAACUACGUG
rnacentral:rRNA from 1 species